AAAGGUACCGGCCCCCCCCUCGAGGUCUGCCUUGGCGCCAAGAGCCGAUGAAGGACGCGGUAAGCUGCGAAAAGGCAUGGGUAGGAGCAAGCAUCCUGUGAUCCAUGCAUAUCCGAAUGGGGCAACCCACCAUCAGUCAUGUGAUGGUACGAAAGAGGCAGACCUGGGGAACUGAAACAUCUAAGUACCCAGAGGAAAAGUAAUCAAUUGAGAUUCCCUAAGUAGCGGCGAGCGAAAGGGGAAGAGCCCAAACCAUGAAACUUCGGUUUUGUGGGGUUGAGGACCGGCAAAAAGAGGAAACUUCUUAGUCGAAUGGUUUGGAAAGGCCAUGCACAGAAGGUAAAACACCUGUAGGCGAAAAGAAGUCAAUCGGGCUGGUAUCCAGAGUACUGCGAGACACGUGAAACCUUGCAGGAAGCAGGGGGGACCACCCUCCAAGGCAAAAUACUACUUGGCGACCGAUAGCGCAUAGUACCGUGAGGGAAAGGUGAAAAGAACCCCGGGAGGGGAGUGAAAUAGAACCUGAAACCGUAUGUCUACAAGCAGUCGAAGCACCUUAAGAGUGCGACGGCGUGCCUAUUGAAGAAUGAACCGGCGAGUUACAUUAUGUUGCGAGGUUAAGUGGGAGACACGGAGCCGAAGCGAAAGCGAGUCUUAAUAGGGCGACUAGUAACAUGGUGUAGACCCGAAACCGCAGUGAUCUAUCCAUGGUCAGGUUGAAGCGCAGGUAAAAAUGCGUGGAGGACCGAACCCGUGAGUGUUGAAAAACUUUGGGAUGAACCGUGGAUAGGGGUGAAAUGCCAAUCGAACGCGGAGAUAGCUGGUACUCCCCGAAAUAGCUUUAGGGCUAGCCUCAGGGAAGAUUAUAGACGGUAGAGCACUGAUCUGGCAAGGGGGCGUAAAGCCUACCGACCCUAGUCAAACUUCGAAUGGCUAUAAUUAAGACCCUGGGAGUCAGACUGCGAGUGAUAAGACCCGUAGUCAAGAGGGAAACAGCCCAGACCGCCGACUAAGGUCCCCAAUGCUGUACUAAGUGGAAAAGGAUGUAAGACUUCAUAAACAACCAGGAUGUUGGCUUAGAAGCAGCCACCAUUAAAAGAGUGCGUAAUAGCUCACUGGUCGAGAGGCCUUGCGCCGAAGAUGUCCGGGGCUCAAGUACAGAACCGAAGUCGCGGCAGGAUUAUAUAAUUCUGGGUAGGGGAGCGUUGUAUAUCCGACUGAAGGUGUACCGGAAGGAGCGCUGGAGGAUAUACAAGAGAGAAUGCCGGUAUGAGUAGCGAAAAGAACAGUGAGAAUCUGUUCCACCGAAAGCCUAAGGUUUCCUGAGCAACGCUCGUCGACUCAGGGUAAGUCGGGACCUAAGCCGAGGCAAAAAGCAUAGGCGAUGGACAACAGGUUAAUAUUCCUGUACCGCUUCAAAUCGUUUGAGCAAUGGAGUGACACAGAAGGUAGCUUGAGCACGCGAAUGGAUGUGCGUGUCGAAGGUGGUAGGUUGCAGUAUAGGCAAAUCCGUACUGUAUAAGACCGAGAACUGAUAGAUAGACAAUACUUCGGUAAAGUCAAAUUCAAGUGAGCCAUGCUGUCGAGAAAAGCUUCUAGUGAGAGAUGAGGCGCCCGUACCGAAACCGACACAGGUAGGCGGGGAGAGAAUCCUAAGGUGCGCGGGACAACCCUCGUUAAGGAACUCGGCAAAUUGUAUCCGUAACUUAGGGAUAAGGAUAGCCGGAGGAUGUGAAGGGAUUUACUUCUGGAGCGUCAGCCGGUGGCACAAGAGAGGCCCAAGCGACUGUUUAGCACAAACACAGGUGCCUGCAAAAGAGAAUCUGACGUAUAGGUGCUGACACCUGCCCGGUGCUGGAAGGUUAAGAGGAGGGCUUAGAGGCAACUCGAAGGCUUGAAUUGAAGCCCCAGUAAACGGCGGCCGUAACUAUAACGGUCCUAAGGUAGCGAAAUUCCUUGUCGGGUAAGUUCCGACCCGCACGAAAGGUGUAACGACUUGGGCACUGUCUCAACGAGGGACCCGGUGAAAUUGAAGUACCUGUGAAGAUGCAGGUUACCCGCGACUGGACAGAAAGACCCCAUGGAGCUUUACUGCAACCUGACAUUGAUGUUCGGUAAAUAACGUACAGGAUAGGUGGGAGACGGAGAAGUAUUGGCGUUAGCUGAUAUGGAGUCAACCUUGGGAUACCACCCUUUAUUUAUUGGACCUCUAACUGAAGAAGUAACGACUCUCAGGACAGUAUCAGGCGGGCAGUUUGACUGGGGCGGUCGCCUCCCAAAAUGUAACGGAGG
rnacentral:rRNA from 1 species